AACAGACGUUUUGUUGAUUCCGGUGAGUGGAGGUUCACAACGACUAUCAAAACCGAACGCGGCCGCUGCCAGGACUUGGACGCGGAAACCUUCGAAAGAGGAUGGUGCGGGCUCGGGUGCGGGUGCGGAACAAGGUUGGGAGAUUAGGGGAAAGUUGGUUUUCAAAAGGAUAAGGCCAUGGCUGCAGCUUCCUGCAGGACCUGCAGCUGUUUCACGACCGAAAUGGGACGCCGUUUAUGUGGUUGCCGAAGAUCGGAGGUCGGGAUGUGGAUUUGCACCGGUUGUAUUCGGUGGUGGUGGCCCGGGGUGGGUAGACGAGAUUGACGUUGAAGCAGAUUUACAUCCGAUUUUUGAACAAGUACGAAAAAGUUAAUUUUCACGGUGAGGAGAAGGAUCCGACGGAAGAGGGAAACGACGAGCGGCAUAAUCGGAAGUGGUCAGCGCGGAUGUUGCACUCGGUGCCGGCGGUUUACGACCAUCAGCAGCAUUAUGUGCCAGAAGUGAUGACGGGACAGUGUGGGAUGUCCCGAGGGUCCGCAGUCCAUUUCUCGUUGCGGGACGAGUAUUACCUAAACAUCCGGAAGAACAGUUUGCACUAGUUCUGGAAGGACCGUCUGUACGAAAGCCGCAGGUCCUGGAGCUGUCGUACUCAGAUUACUUCCAGAGGUUGGAGCGAGAUCCGACGAACCUGAUCAAAAACAUCUACCUGGAAUACCGAAGAAGUUACAGCAACUCCCGCCCGCAAACGCUCAUCUCGCAACGGCGCAGCUUCGGCCGGAUGAACUUUGACGGCGAGUUGGCAAUAUCUGUAUCAUUCUCGAAGGAGGACGAAGUGAUCGUGAACUAUCCGUUCAUGCGCUUCACUUCCUAGCCGGAAAACGUCGACUUCCCUUCCCGAAUCAACAACCAAUGGCCAACUCCUCCAAGCCUGUCCUGAUGAUGGCCGGCAACGAGACCACCCUGUUCUCUACAUCGCUGUCGCGCUCCAAAAUAAAGGCCGCGAUGUUGCUCCCCAACGAAACAUCCAUCCGUAACCUGCUCAGCCUGGGGCCUUCGAACGUGACCGGUGGCGUACCGUAAGAAUCGGUACAGCUUGGACGCGGAAGUUGGCCAACCAUAAGCAGAUCCGUUAAAUACAAAAAAAAAUCGAAAACAUACUGUUUUAAUAUUAAAAUAUUGAAAUAAAAUCCAUCACAUGUUUCGAAAAUCAUCA